GACGAACGCUGGCGGCGUGCUUAACACAUGCAAGUCGAACGGUGAAGCGCCUUCCUUUUGGUGGGUGUGGAUGAGUGGCGAACGGGUGAGUAACACGUGAGUAACCUGCCCCCUUCUUCCGGAUAACCGCAUGAAAGUGUGGCUAAUACGGGAUAUUCUGGGUCUGUCGCAUGAUGGGUCUGGGAAAGAUUGCGCCUUUGGGUGUUUUUGGUGGGGGAUGGGCUCGCGGCCUAUCAGCUUGUUGGUGGGGUGAUGGCCUACCAAGGCGGUGACGGGUAGCCGGCCUGAGAGGGUGGACGGUCACACUGGGACUGAGACACGGCCCAGACUCCUACGGGAGGCAGCAGUGGGGAAUAUUGCACAAUGGGCGCAAGCCUGAUGCAGCGACGCCGCGUGAGGGAUGGAGGCCUUCGGGUUGUAAACCUCUUUCGCCAGUGAAGCAGGCCUGCCCCUUGGUGGGUGGGUUGACGGUAGCUGGAUAAGAAGCGCCGGCUAACUACGUG
rnacentral:rRNA from 1 species